rnacentral:rRNA from 1 species
GACGAACGCUGGCGGCGCGCCUAACACAUGCAAGUCGAACGAGCGAGAGGAGGUUUACUUUCUUGAGCGAGUGGCGAACGGGUGAGUAACGCGUGAGGAACCUGCCUCAAAGAGGGGGACAACAGUUGGAAACGACUGCUAAUACCGCAUAAGCCCACGACCCGGCAUCGGGUAGAGGGAAAAGGAGCAAUCCGCUUUGAGAUGGCCUCGCGUCCGAUUAGCUAGUUGGUGAGGUAACGGCCCACCAAGGCGACGAUCGGUAGCCGGACUGAGAGGUUGAACGGCCACAUUGGGACUGAGACACGGCCCAGACUCCUACGGGAGGCAGCAGUGGGGAAUAUUGCACAAUGGGGGAAACCCUGAUGCAGCGACGCCGCGUGGAGGAAGAAGGUCUUCGGAUUGUAAACUCCUGUUGUUGAGGAAGAUAAUGACGGUACUCAACAAGGAAGUGACGGC